UACAGAGGGUGCAAGCGUUAAUCGGAAUUACUGGGCGUAAAGCGUGCGCAGGCGGUUUUGUAAGACAGGUGUGAAAUCCCCGGGCUUAACCUGGGAACUGCGCUUGUGACUGCAAGACUCGAGUACGGCAGAGGGGGGUGGAAUUCCACGUGUAGCAGUGAAAUGCGUAGAGAUGUGGAGGAACACCGAUGGCGAAGGCAGCCCCCUGGGUCGAUACUGACGCUCAUGCACGAAAGCGUGGGGAGCAAAC
rnacentral:rRNA from 1 species